UGUGGGAGCUGGCUUGCCAGCGAAAGCGGUUUGCCAUUCAGCAAUGAUGUUGGCAGUGACUCCGCCAUCGCUGGCAAGCCAGCUCCCACA
rnacentral:antisense_RNA from 1 species